CUUGAUGAAAUCCCAAUGCUAUAUUUGUGCCCAUUUGUGUGUUUUCUGCAGCUUUCUCUAUGUGUUUUUUGUUUCCUAAGCAUAUAUACAAGGUUUAUAAGAAUAUAUGCAUUGUAUAUGUUCAAUUUUUCUUUUCAUUUUAAACUCUGUUUGCUGGGUUCUGUUUGUGCAGGUUAGUGUCCUCUCAAUCUUGUAGUUCUAUUGGUGUCAAAUGAGGGGGGUUUGAUUGAUAUUGAUCAGAUUUUUCUGCUUGUGAAAUGGAUAGACAUGAU
rnacentral:lncRNA from 1 species